UAAGACGUAGGUGGCGAACGUUAUCCGGAAUUAUUGGGCGUAAAGGGUGCGCAGAUGGCUUGGUAAGUUAGCGGUGGGAAAUCGAGGCUCAACCUCGUGGAAGCCGGUAAUACUAUUAGGCUUGAGUGCAGGAGAGGUUAACGGAAUUCCAUGUGGAGCGGUAAAAUGUGUGGAUAUAUGGAAGAACACCAAUAACGGCGAAGGCAGUUAACUAUUCUGCUACUGACAUUGAGGCACGAAAGCGUGGGGAGCAAAACGGAUUAGAUACCCGUGUAGUCCACGCCCUAAACGAUGAGUGCUGGAUAUUGGGAACUUGAUUCUCAGUGUCGCUAGGUAACCCGGUAAGCACUCCGCCUGGGCAGUACGCUCGCAAGAGUG
rnacentral:rRNA from 1 species